rnacentral:lncRNA from 1 species
GCAGAAACUCUCAGUCUAGAAGUUCUACAGGACUGAACAUGGUAAUCCCAGGGACAGCCACCACUGAUGGGCUUCACACUCAAAAGACCAGGCAAGAAGCCACAUUUGUGACUGAUGACAUCCAGUGAACCAGAAGGGCAGGGGAAUUAUACAGAACCCUGUGGCUGUAUCCCAGGACAGGGUGUGUAAUGGCUAUUCCUGGUUGUCAACUUGACUAUAUCUGGAAUGGACUACAAUCCAGAAUUGGAAGACACACCUGUGAACCAGAUCUUGAGGCUGGAAGAUACAAGUGUCUGACCUGGAUCUUGGCAUGGAGAUCUUGAGGCAUAGUGGCCAUGAAAAGCUUAGGCCCAGACAAGGUGGUACAUGCCUUUAAUCCCAGGAGACUGUGGCAAGGAGGUCUCUGAGUUCAAGAUCAACCUGGGACAAAGCAAAUCCCAGAUCCGGGCAUUGUCGUGGUAUAUACCUUUAAUCUGGGCCACACUUUCUGCUGGAGGCCUAAACAAGGACAUUGGAAGAAGGAAGAUUCGCUCUUCUUCCCCUGCGUGCACUUACUAGCCAGCACAUCUGUCGGAACCUACUUCUACAGAAGACCAGCUGAAACACCCAGCCUCGUGGAACUGAGCAACUACUGGAUCCUUGGACUUCCCAUUCACAGCUGGCCAUUGUUAGGUUAGUCAGAAUGCAGCAGACUGUGUAAGUCAUCACAAUAAAUUCCGUCAGUAUAGAGAGACAUUCCAUAAAUUCUGUGACUCUGGACAACCUUGACUAAUACAGGGUAGAUGGCUGGAACUCACACAGAAUUUUCUUGUGCUUAAAGCAACCCACAGGCAGCCAGCAGGUGGUCAGCCUUCAGCCUUUGUAUUAAGACCCACCUCCUCACCCACUGUUGCCAGAUGAAUUGAACAACAGGGAAGAUAAUUCCAAUCACAAACCAAUGUAUGACUCUCUGCCUCAUCCUCCUGCAUCAAGAUGUGAGCUCUCAGCUACUUCCUCAGCUCCCUGCCUGCCUGCUGUCAUGCUCCCUGCCAUGAUGGUUGUGGA